AUUGAACGCUGGCGGCAGGCCUAACACAUGCAAGUCGAACGGUAACAGGAAGCAGCUUGCUGCUUUGCUGACGAGUGGCGGACGGGCGAGUAAUGUCUGGGAAACUGCCCGAUGGAGGGGGAUAACUACUGGAAACGGUAGCUAAUACCGCAUAACGUCGCAAGACCAAAGAGGGGGACCUUAGGGCCUCUUGCCAUCGGAUGUGCCCAGAUGGGAUUAGCUAGUAGGUGGGGUAACGGCUCACCUAGGCGACGAUCCCUAGCUGGUCUGAGAGGAUGACCAGCCACACUGGAACUGAGACACGGUCCAGACUCCUACGGGAGGCAGCAGUGGGGAAUAUUGCACAAUGGGCGCAAGCCUGAUGCAGCCAUGCCGCGUGUAUGAAGAAGGCCUUCGGGUUGUAAAGUACUUUCAGCGGGGAGGAAGGGAGUAAAGUUAAUACCUUGGCUCAUUGACGUUACCCGCAGAAGAAGCACCGGCUAACUCCGUG
rnacentral:rRNA from 1 species